rnacentral:rRNA from 1 species
UGGGGAAUAUUGCACAAUGGGCGAAAGCCUGAAUGCAGCAACGCCGCGUGAGUGAUGAAGGCCUUCGGGUUGUAAAGCUCUGUCUUUUGGGACGAUAAUGACGGUACCAAAGGAGGAAGCCACGGCUAACUACGUGCCAGCAGCCGCGGUAAUACGUAGGUGGCAAGCGUUGUCCGGAUUUACGGGCGUAAAGGAUGCGUAGGCGGAUUUUUAAGUGAGAUGUGAAAUACCCGGGCUUAACUUGGGUGCUGCAUUUCAAACUGGGAAUCUAGAGUGCGGGAGAGGAGAAUGGAAUUCCUAGUGUAGCGGUGAAAUGCGUAGAGAUUAGGAAGAACACCAGUGGCGAAGGCGAUUCUCUGGACCGUAACUGACGCUGAGGCAUGAAAGCGUGGGUAGCAAACAGGAUUAGAUACCCUGGUAGUCCACGCCGUAAACGAUGAGUACUAGGUGUAGGAGGUAUCGACCCCUUCUGUGCCGCAGUUAACACAAUCAAGUACUCCGCCCUGGGAAGUACGAUCGCAAGAUU